CAGCUAGUUGGUGGGGUAAGAGCCUACCAAGGCGACGAUCGGUAGCUGGUCUGAGAGGACGAUCAGCCACACUGGGAUUGAGAACGGCCCAGACUCCUACGGGGGGCAGCAGUGAGGAAUUUUCCGCAAUGGACGCAAGUCUGACGGAGCAACGCCGCGUGCAGGAGGACGCUUUUCGGAGUGUAAACUGCUUUUCUGUGGGAAGAGAGAGGACGGUACCACAGGAAGAAGCCCCGGCUAACUACGUGCCAGCAGCCGCGGUAAUACGUAGGGGGCGAGCGUUGUCCGGAGUUACUGGGCGUAAAGGGCAUGCAGGCGGUCGGACGCGUUUUGUGUGACAUCGGGUGGCUUAACUACCCGAGUAUGCAAAAGACGG
rnacentral:rRNA from 1 species